rnacentral:lncRNA from 1 species
UUGUAUCGCACUUGACCAAGCCCGAAACUACAAGUAAGCUUCAAGUAAAAUUGAUACAUUACCUUGUGCAUCUUUAUCAAUUAAAGAUACCACCACUGGAUGGAGAAAAAGUACUUCUAGAGAAGAUGCCACAUCUACAUAUGAGACAUAUAAGGCAAGUGAAAAUGAUACCACACUUCAGUACUUAGAAGUUUCGUAAUUACUCAAUGGCUUGGAUCUUGCAAGUCCCCAACCGAGGAGCUUCCCUCACUCGGGAACUUAGGGGAGCACUGUUUGUACUAUACUUGACCAAUCCCAAAACUACUGAGCAUCGGUCAAUGUUAUACAAUCAAGGACCCAUAUUAGAUAACAAAUAAUUAGCUACACAAUGGUGGAGAAGAAAUAAUUAUAAUCAAAGUAGAUAACAAAUAAAUAAUACAAACAAAUAAUUACAAUGUAAAUUUGGGUAUAGUACAAACAAAUAAAUAAUAUAUUGUUACUUGAUCCGUGUAAUUUUCCCCACUUCGAAGAUUACUAUUAACUUGUGCCAAGGCGUCUCUCCAAAUAGUAAAUGAUUGGCUAAGUAAUUUCCAACGACUAGACAUCGAUUCUUAGGUUCUACUCCCACCCAUUUUCUCAAGAUAAUUGGUAUGAAUAAGACUCCACAUUUCUCGCAACUGCAUCUCAUUACCCGUACGCGAACUAUGAGUAACUUCAACCCAACUAGUACACAAUGCAACAUCUUCAAGAGACGUCCAAUUCGUACCUGCAUCAGUAGUCAUUAUGUUGAAAAAAAUUGGAUUGAAACUUUGAGAGAAAGAUAGGAAUGUGAUUGAAAGUAGUGUAGAACAUAUGAAAUUGUGGUGUAAGGUAGAUGAUAAUGAGAAGGUAUUUAU